rnacentral:misc_RNA from 1 species
AACGCACAUUGCGCCCUUUGGCAUUCCUUAGGGCAUGCCUGUUCGAGCGUCAUUUACACCCUCAAGCGCUGCUUGGUGUUGGGCGUCUGUCCCGCCUCACGGCUGUGGACUCGCCUCAAAGUCAUUGGCGGCCGGUACGUGGGCUUCGAGCGCAGCGCAAUCGCGUCUCGAGGCCCGCCGUGCCCGCGUCCACAAGGCAAAAGUCUAACCGUCUUGACCUCGGAUCAGGUAGGGAUACCCGCUGAACUUAA